GCGGGUCCUUUGGGCCCAACCUCCCAUCCGNGNUCUAUUGUACCCUGNUUGCAUUCGGCGGGCCCGCCGCUUGUCGGCCGCCGGGGGGGCGCCUCUGCCCCCCGGGCCCGUGCCCGCCGGAGACCCCAACACGAACACUGUCUGAAAGCGUGCAGUCUGAGUUGAUUGAAUGCAAUCAGUUAAAACUUUCAACAAUGGAUCUCUUGGUUCCGGCAUCGAUGAAGAACGCAGCGAAAUGCGAUAACUAAUGUGAAUUGCAGAAUUCAGUGAAUCAUCGAGUCUUUGAACGCACAUUGCGCCCCCUGGUAUUCCGGGGGGCAUGCCUGUCCGAGCGUCAUUGCUGCCCUCAAGCCCGGCUUGUGUGUUGGGUCGCCGUCCCCCUCUCCGGGGGGACGGGCCCGAAAGGCAGCGGCGGCACCGCGUCCGAUCCUCGAGCGUAUGGGGCUUUGUCACAUGCUCUGUAGGAUUGGCCGGCGCCUGCCGACGUUUUCCAACCAUUCUUUCCAGGUUGACCUCGGAUCAGGUAGGGAUACCCGCUGAACUUAAGCAUAUCAAUAAGCCGGAGGAA
rnacentral:rRNA from 1 species